rnacentral:rRNA from 1 species
AGGUCUAAGUAUAAGCGUGAAAUAAAGUGAAACCGCGAAUGGCUCAUUACAUCAGUUAUGGUUCCUUAGAUCUUCGGUAUCCUGCUUGGAUAACCCUGGAAAUUCUAGAGCUAAUACAUGCGAGAGUAGUCCCGGAACCUCGUGUGAGGGACGUUUUUGUUAGACCAAAACCAAUCAGGGAGCAAUCUCUGUCCAUUUGGUGAGUCUGAACAGCUGUGAGCAGAUCGCACGGUCUUGUACUGGCGACCACUCUUUCAAAUGUCUGCCUUAUCAACUUGAUGGUAGGUUAUGCGCCUACCAUGGUUAUAACGGGUGACGGAGAAUCAGGGUUCGAUGCCGGAGAGGGAGCCUGAGAAACGGCUACCACAUCCAAGGAAGGCAGCAGGCACGCAAAUUACCCACUCCCGGCACGGGGAGGUAGUGACGAAAAAUAACAAUACGGAGACUCAUCCGAGGUCCCGUAAUUGGAAUGAGUACACUUUAAAUCCUUUAACGAGGAUCCAUUGGAGGGCAAGUCUGGUGCCAGCAGCCGCGGUAAUUCCAGCUCUUACGGGCAGGUGGUUCACCUCACGGUGCUACUACCUGGACCGGACCUAUUGCUGGUUCCUCUGAGGUUCCCUUCACUGGGUGCCCCAGGAGACCAGAGCGUUUACUUUGAAAAAAUUGGAGUGCUCAAAGCAGGCGAAUGCCUGAACAGUCGUGCAUGGAAUAAUGGAAAAGGGCCUCGGUGCUAUUUUGUUGGUUCUCGGUACUCGAGGUAAUGGUUGAAAGGGACAGACGGGGGCAUUCGUAUUGCGACGUUAGAGGUGAAAUUCUUAGAUCGUCGCAAGACGGACUACUGCGAAAGCAUUUGCCAAGAAUGUUUUCAUUAAUCAAGAACGAAAGUCAGAGGUUCGAAGGCGAUCAGAUACCGCCCUAGUUCUGACCUUAAACGAUGCCAACUGGCGAUCCGUCGGGGGUAUUUCCAUGACCUGACGGGCAGCUUCCGGGAAACCAAAGUUUUUGGGUUCCGGGGGAAGUAUGGCUGCAAAGCUGCAACUUAAAGGAAUUGACGGAAGGGCACCACCAGGAGUGGAGCCUGUGGCUUAAUUUGACUCAACACAUUGAGAGCUCUUUCUUGAUUUGGUGGGUGGUGGUGCAUGGCCGUUCUUAGUUGGUGGAGUGAUUUGUCUGGUUAAUUCCGAUAACGAACGAGACUCUGGCCUACUAAAUAGAAGACGGAUCUAUUGGUCCGAUACCUCUUCUUAGAGGGACAAGGCAGCUCCAAGCUGCGUGAAAUGGGGCAAUAACAGGUCUGUGAUGCCCUUAAAUGUUCUGGGCCGCACACGCGGCUACACUGAGGGAGGCAACGAGUUCUCCUGGCUCGAAAGGGCUGGGUAACCUGUUGAAUCUCCCUCGUGCUGGGGAUUGAGGUUUGCAAUUAUCCUUCAUGAACGAGGAAUUCCCAGUAAGUGCAAGUCAUAAGCUUGCGCUGACUACGUCCCUGCCCUUUGUACACACCGCCCGUCGCUACUACCGAUUGAAUGAUUUAGUGAGGCCUUCGGACUGGGACCGUUGCGGCUUUCGGGUUGCGUCGGUACUCCGGAAAGAUGUCCAAACUGUAUCAUUUAGAGGAAGUAAAAGUCGUAGCAAGGU